CCUACGGGAGGCAGCAGUGGGGAAUAUUGCACAAUGGACGAAAGUCUGACGCAGCGACGCCGCGUGAGGGAUGAAGGAUUUCGGUUCGUAAACCUCUAUCAGCAGGGAAGAAAACGACUGUACCCGAUCAAGCAUGCGUGGCCAACUACGCCCCAGCAGGCGCGGUAAUACGCCGGGGGCGAGCGUUAGCCGGAUUUACUGGGUGUAAAGUGAGCGUAGAUGGCAGGACAAGUAGGGAGUGAAAUUCCGCGGCUCAACCGCGGAAUUGCUGUGGAUACUGUGCGGCUGGAGUACGGGAGAGGUAGGUGGAAUUCCUGGUGUAGCAGUGAAAUGCGUAGAUAUCAGGAGGAACAUCAGUGGCGAAGGCGGCUUACUGGACUGUAACUGACGUUGAGGCGCGAAAGCGUGGGGAGCAAACAGGAUUAGAUACCCGUGUAGUC
rnacentral:rRNA from 1 species